rnacentral:rRNA from 1 species
UACAGAGGUCUCAAGCGUUGUUCGGAUUCAUUGGGCGUAAAGGGUGCGUAGGCGGCGCGUUAAGUCAGGGGUGAAAUCCUGGAGCUCAACUCCAGAACUGCCCCUUGAUACUGACGGUCUCGAGUCCGGGAGAGGUGAGUGGAACUGCGAGUGUAGAGGUGAAAUUCGUAGAUAUUCGCAAGAACACCAGUGGCGAAGGCGGCUCACUGGCCCGGUACUGACGCUGAGGUGCGAAAGCGUGGGGAGCAAACAGG